rnacentral:rRNA from 1 species
AAGGAUCAUUACCGAGUGAGGGCCCUCUGGGUCCAACCUCCCACCCGUGUUUAUCGUACCUUGUUGCUUCGGCGAGCCCGCCUCACGGCCGCCGGGGGGCAUCCGCCCCCGGGCCCGCGCUCGCCGAAGACACCAUUGAACUCUGUCUGAAGAUUGCAGUCUGAGUGAUUAACUAAAUCAGUUAAAACUUUCAACAACGGAUCUCUUGGUUCCGGCAUCGAUGAAGAACGCAGCGAAAUGCGAUAAGUAAUGUGAAUUGCAGAAUUCAGUGAAUCAUCGAGUCUUUGAACGCACAUUGCGCCCCCUGGUAUUCCGGGGGGCAUGCCUGUCCGAGCGUCAUUGCUGCCCUCAAGCACGGCUUGUGUGUUGGGCCCCGCCCCCCGGUUUCGGGGGGCGGACCCGAAAGGCAGCGGCGGCACCGCGUCCGGUCCUCGAGCGUAUGGGGCUUCGUCACCCGCUCUGUAGGCCCGGCCGGCGCCCGCCGGCGACCCCAAUCAAUCUAUCCAGGUUGACCUCGGAUCAGGUAGGGAUACCCGCUGAACUUAAGCAUAUCAAUAAGCGGAGGA